rnacentral:rRNA from 1 species
AUACGGAGGGGGUUAGCGUUGUUCGGAAUUACUGGGCGUAAAGCGCACGUAGGCGGACUGGAAAGUUGGGGGUGAAAUCCCGGGGCUCAACCCCGGAACUGCCUCCAAAACUUCCAAUCUAGAGAUCGAGUGAGGUGAGUGGAAUUCCAAGUGUAGAGGUGAAAUUCGUAGAUAUUUGGAGGAACACCAGUGGCGAAGGCGGCUCACCGGCUCGAUACUGACGCUGAGGUGCGAAAGCGUGGGGAGCAAACAGGAUUAGAUACCCCAGUAGUCC